UACGGAGGUGGCGAGCGUUGUCCGAAGUUACUGGGCGUAAAGCGCGCGUAGGCGGGCUAUUAAGUGAGGGGUGAAAGGCUGAGGCUCAACCUCAUGUUGGUCCUCUCAUACUGAUAGUCUUGAGUGAGGCAGGGAGAAGUGGAAUGGCUGGUGUAGCGGUGAAAUGCGUAGAUAUCAGUCGGAACACCGGUGGCGAAGGCGGCUUCUUGGGCCUUAACUGACGCUGAGGCGCGAAAGCUAGGGGAGCAAACGGG
rnacentral:rRNA from 1 species